GACGAACGCUGGCGGCAGGCUUAACACCUGCAAGUCGCACGAGAACGUUCUGGCUUUGCCAGGACAAGUGCCGUGGCGGAGCGGUGCGUAUCGAGUACAUAACCUGCCGUCCGGCACGGGACAAUCACAGGAAGCCUUGGCUAAUACCACAUGUCGAUUGGGCCCGCGCAUGGGGACCAAAUGAAACCCGUGCGGCGCCAUUGGUAUGGCUCUGCAUUGGAUUAUCUCUGUGGUGAGGCAUCGGCUCAGCAACGAUACGAUCCUGGUCUGGUCUGAUAAGACGAUCAGCCGCGGUGGAAAUGAGACCCAGACUCCACUCGUACGGGACGCAGCGGAGGGGAGUCUUGCGGGGUGGGGUCAGCCCUGAUGCUGCCAUGCGGCGUGGAAGAACACACUCGUGUGGGGCGUCCUUUCCUUUUCUGAAAAACCAAACUCCUGUAGGUGCGUGGCGCGACCGUAGGACUAGAGUAAGGACUCGGUUAACGCCAUGCCCCCCGCCACUGUAGAAGGGACGGUGCUUGCCUUGACUCGAAGCGCUGGGUGGAUGUGGUGGUCAGGCGGCGCAUCAAGUCUGAUGUGAAACCCCAUGGCUCAACCAUGGACGUGCAUUCUAAACUGUCUGCUCUUGAGUCCAGGAUAGGCUGUCUGAAUUCUGUGGUGUAGCGGUGAAAUGCGUACAUAUCACGAGGAACACCCGAAGCCAAAGCGGGCAGCUGGACGGGUAGUGACGCUCAGGCACGAAAGCGUGCGGAGCAAACAGGAUUAGAUACAGUGGUAGUUCACGCGGUAAUCGAUGAACGCUCGCAGUUGCCCUGCUCAAGGGGCAGUGGAUAAGCUAACGCGUUAAGCGUUCCACAUGGGGAGUACGAUCGCAAGGUUGUAACUCAAAGGAAUUGACGGGGGCCCGCACAAGCGGUGGAGCAUGUGGCUCACUUGGAUGCAACGUGAAGAACAUUACAUAGGCUUGAACGGUAGAGGACCGCUCAGGAAUGGGUGCUUCCCGUGUGGGGUUUGUAGCGAGGUAUUGCAUGGUAGUGGUCAGCUGUUGUCGUGAGAUGUUGGGUUAAGUCCCGCAACGUGCGUAACCCAGGGCGAUCGUUACCAUUGGGUAGUGCCGGGGAAUCUAGGGAAAUUGCGUGCGCAAGCAGGGAGGAAGGUGGGGAAGACGUCAAGUCAUCAUGGUCCUUAAGCGUCGGGAUGCACACGUGUUACAAUGGCCGGUACAAGGGGUAGCCACCUGGCGAGAGUGAGCGAAUCCGAGAAAACCUGUCCCAGUUAGGAUCGGAGUGGGCAAGUGUACUCCAUGAAGCAGGAAUAGGUAGUAAUCGCGGAUCAGCAAUGAUGCGGUGAAUCCGUUCCCGGGCGUUGUACACCCCGCCAGUCAAGCCAUGGAAGGUGAGAACACCCGAAGUCCGUGAAUCAACUCGGGCCUCGCGUUGGAGAGAGAGCGGCCGAAGGUGAGUUCAGUGACUGGGGCU
rnacentral:rRNA from 1 species